rnacentral:rRNA from 1 species
CCUACGGGUGGCAGCAGUGAGGAAUAUUGGUCAAUGGACGCAAGUCUGAACCAGCCAUGCCGCGUGCAGGAAGACGGCUCUAUGAGUUGUAAACUGCUUUUGUACGAGGGUAAACGCAGAUACGCGUAUCUGUCUGAAAGUAUCGUACGAAUAAGGAUCGGCUAACUCCGUGCCAGCAGCCGCGGUAAUAAGGAGGAUUCAAGCGUUAUCCGGAUUUAUUGGGUUUAAAGGGUGCGUAGGCGGUCGGAUAAGUUAGAGGUGAAAUCCCGAGGCUCAACUUCGUAAUUGCCUCUGAUACUGUUAGGCUAGAGAGUAGUUGCGGUAGGCGGAAUGUAUGGUGUAGCGGUGACAUGCUUAGAGAUCAUACAGAACACCGAUUGCGAAGGCAGCUUACCAAGCUACUUCUGACGUUGAGGCACGAAAGCGUGGGGAGCAAACAGGAUUAGAUACCCGAGUAGUC